GUCCACGCCGUAACGGUGGCACUAGGUGUGGACCCAUUCCACGGUUCCGUGCCGAAGCUAACGCAUUAAGUGCCCGCCUGGGAGUACGGCCGCAAGGCUAAACUCAAGGAAUUGACGGGCCCGCACAAGCGGCGGAGCAUGCGGAUUAAUUCGAUGCAACGCGAAGAACCUUACCUGGGUUUGACAUAUACCGGAACAUCUGGAGACAGGUGCCCCGCAAGGUCGGUAUACAGGUGGUGCAUGGGCUGUCGU
rnacentral:rRNA from 1 species